ensembl:lncRNA
GUAUUUAUUACACAUACAUAUGUGCAUACAUAUACCCAUAGACGCCGCAUUGGCUUCUGGUCGCGAGAAAUACGGCCGCCAUCUUGGAGUCGUACUCGUAGUUGCGUACGUAGCAGCAGAAGAUACAGGAUGCCACAGCACUGUGCUGCUUAUUUCUGCGCUAAUCGGCGGACCAUCGCCAGCAUGGCUCGGGGGAUAACCUUUCACAAGUUUCCAAAGGACAAACAUGUGAGGAAGAAGUGGGAAGUGGCUUUGAGGAGAGAUGGAUUUACAGCUGAUAAGUGAUUCAUCAGUGCUUCGCUGUGAACACUUCAAGCAGACUGAUUUUGAUAAGACGGGUCAGAUUGUCCGACUCCGAGAUGGUGUUAUUCCAUACUGUGUAAAGUGCUAUAUAAAUAUGUAUUAUUUUUUUAUUAUUAUUAUAAGGUGCUGAGCGCUGCAGAGGGUGAUCUGCCGAGCUUCAACAACCCAAGCUCCUAAGGUGUCGACAGUCACACACAUCGUCCGAGAGGAGAUUGGAACGGAUGAUGUUUUUUUGCUUGGGGAACACAUUGAAGAGACACAGUUUGGCAUCGACAACCAUCAUUCAGACUUCAGUCAUUGGUUGUGUCUGUGUUUCUCAAGCUAAGGCUGCACCACAUUGCCAAACUCACCACUCUGGAACUGCAAAACGGGAGCACGAGAAAGAAGCUCUGCAAGACAGUCCUAUUCCAGGGGUUUUAGUGUGUGUGUGUGUGUGUGU